GGAAGGUUGUCCGAGCUGGCCGAAGGAGCACGCCUGGAAAGUGUGUAGGCGUCACAAGCGUCUCAAGGGUUCGAAUCCCUCACUCUCCG
rnacentral:tRNA from 1 species